AGCCCAGAGCCUGAAUCAGUGUGUGUGUUAGUGGAAGCGUCUGGAAAGGCGCGCGAUACAGGGUGACAGCCCCGUACACAAAAAUGCACAUGCUGUGAGCUCGAUGAGUAGGGCGGGACACGUGGUAUCCUGUCUGAAUAUGGGGGGACCAUCCUCCAAGGCUAAAUACUCCUGACUGACCGAUAGUGAACCAGUACCGUGAGGGAAAGGCGAAAAGAACCCCGGCGAGGGGAGUGAAAAAGAACCUGAAACCGUGUACGUACAAGCAGUGGGAGCACGCUUAGGCGUGUGACUGCGUACCUUUUGUAUAAUGGGUCAGCGACUUAUAUUCUGUAGCAAGGUUAACCGAAUAGGGGAGCCGAAGGGAAACCGAGUCUUAACUGGGCGUUAAGUUGCAGGGUAUAGACCCGAAACCCGGUGAUCUAGCCAUGGGCAGGUUGAAGGUUGGGUAACACUAACUGGAGGACCGAACCGACUAAUGUUGAAAAAUUAGCGGAUGACUUGUGGCUGGGGGUGAAAGGCCAAUCAAACCGGGAGAUAGCUGGUUCUCCCCGAAAGCUAUUUAGGUAGCGCCUCGUGAAUUCAUCUCCGGGGGUAGAGCACUGUUUCGGCAAGGGGGUCAUCCCGACUUACCAACCCGAUGCAAACUGCGAAUACCGGAGAAUGUUAUCACGGGAGACACACGGCGGGUGCUAACGUCCGUCGUGAAGAGGGAAACAACCCAGACCGCCAGCUAAGGUCCCAAAGUCAUGGUUAAGUGGGAAACGAUGUGGGAAGGCCCAGACAGCCAGGAUGUUGGCUUAGAAGCAGCCAUCAUUUAAAGAAAGCGUAAUAGCUCACUGGUCGAGUCGGCCUGCGCGGAAGAUGUAACGGGGCUAAACCAUGCACCGAAGCUGCGGCAGCGACGCUGAUGCGUUGUUGGGUAGGGGAGCGUUCUGUAAGCCUGCGAAGGUGUGCUGUGAGGCAUGCUGGAGGUAUCAGAAGUGCGAAUGCUGACAUAAGUAACGAUAAAGCGGGUGAAAAGCCCGCUCGCCGGAAGACCAAGGGUUCCUGUCCAACGUUAAUCGGGGCAGGGUGAGUCGACCCCUAAGGCGAGGCCGAAAGGCGUAGUCGAUGGGAAACAGGUUAAUAUUCCUGUACUUGGUGUUACUGCGAAGGGGGGACGGAGAAGGCUAUGUUGGCCGGGCGACGGUUGUCCCGGUUUAAGCGUGUAGGCUGGUUUUCCAGGCAAAUCCGGAAAAUCAAGGCUGAGGCGUGAUGACGAGGCACUACGGUGCUGAAGCAACAAAUGCCCUGCUUCCAGGAAAAGCCUCUAAGCAUCAGGUAACAUCAAAUCGUACCCCAAACCGACACAGGUGGUCAGGUAGAGAAUACCAAGGCGCUUGAGAGAACUCGGGUGAAGGAACUAGGCAAAAUGGUGCCGUAACUUCGGGAGAAGGCACGCUGAUAUGUAGGUGAAGCGACUUGCUCGUGGAGCUGAAAUCAGUCGAAGAUACCAGCUGGCUGCAACUGUUUAUUAAAAACACAGCACUGUGCAAACACGAAAGUGGACGUAUACGGUGUGACGCCUGCCCGGUGCCGGAAGGUUAAUUGAUGGGGUUAGCGCAAGCGAAGCUCUUGAUCGAAGCCCCGGUAAACGGCGGCCGUAACUAUAACGGUCCUAAGGUAGCGAAAUUCCUUGUCGGGUAAGUUCCGACCUGCACGAAUGGCGUAAUGAUGGCCAGGCUGUCUCCACCCGAGACUCAGUGAAAUUGAACUCGCUGUGAAGAUGCAGUGUACCCGCGGCAAGACGGAAAGACCCCGUGAACCUUUACUAUAGCUUGACACUGAACAUUGAGCCUUGAUGUGUAGGAUAGGUGGGAGGCUUUGAAGUGUGGACGCCAGUCUGCAUGGAGCCGACCUUGAAAUACCACCCUUUAAUGUUUGAUGUUCUAACGUGGACCCGUAAUCCGGGUUGCGGACAGUGUCUGGUGGGUAGUUUGACUGGGGCGGUCUCCUCCUAAAGAGUAACGGAGGAGCACGAAGGUUGGCUAAUCCUGGUCGGACAUCAGGAGGUUAGUGCAAUGGCAUAAGCCAGCUUGACUGCGAGCGUGACGGCGCGAGCAGGUGCGAAAGCAGGUCAUAGUGAUCCGGUGGUUCUGAAUGGAAGGGCCAUCGCUCAACGGAUAAAAGGUACUCCGGGGAUAACAGGCUGAUACCGCCCAAGAGUUCAUAUCGACGGCGGUGUUUGGCACCUCGAUGUCGGCUCAUCACAUCCUGGGGCUGAAGUAGGUCCCAAGGGUAUGGCUGUUCGCCAUUUAAAGUGGUACGCGAGCUGGGUUUAGAACGUCGUGAGACAGUUCGGUCCCUAUCUGCCGUGGGCGCUGGAGAACUGAGGGGGGCUGCUCCUAGUACGAGAGGACCGGAGUGGACGCAUCACUGGUGUUCGGGUUGUCAUGCCAAUGGCACUGCCCGGUAGCUAAAUGCGGAAGAGAUAAGUGCUGAAAGCAUCUAAGCACGAAACUUGCCCCGAGAUGAGUUCUCCCUGACUCCUUGAGAGUCCUGAAGGAACGUUGAAGACGACGACGUUGAUAGGCCGGGUGUGUAAGCGCAGCGAUGCGUUGAGCUAACCGGUACUAAUGAACCGUGAGGCUUAACCUUACAACGCCGAAG
rnacentral:rRNA from 1 species